AACGAACGCUGGCGGCAGGCCUAACACAUGCAAGUCGAGCGAGGACUUCGGUUCUUUCGGCGGACGGGUGAGUAACGCGUGGGAAUGUGCCCUUCUCUACGGAAUACCUCUGGGAAACUGGGAGUAAUACCGUAUACGCCCUAUUGGGGAAUGAUUUAUCGGAGAAGGAUCAUCCCGCGUUGGAUUAGGUAGUUGGUGGGGUAAUGGCCUACCAAGCCGACGAUCCAUAGCUGGUUUGAGAGGAUGAUCAGCCACACUGGGACUGAGACACGGCCCAGACUCCUACGGGAGGCAGCAGUGGGGAAUCUUAGACAAUGGGGGCAACCCUGAUCUAGCCAUGCCGCGUGAGUGAUGAAGGCCUUAGGGUUGUAAAGCUCUUUCAGCUGGGAAGAUAAUGACGGUACCAGCAGAAGAAGCCCCGGCUAACUCCGUG
rnacentral:rRNA from 1 species